AUACCGGGCCCAACGGGUCUGGUAAUUGGAAUGAGUACAAUUUAAAUCCCUUAACGAGGAUCAAUUGGAGGGCAAGUCUGGUGCCAGCAGCCGCGGUAAUUCCAGCUCCAAUAGCGUAUAUUAAAGUUGUUGCAGUUAAAAAGCUCGUAGUUGGAUUUCUGGUUUGAUGCGCCUGGCCCGCCGCGGUUACGCGUGUGAGAGCCGGUUGCGCGUCGACCAUCCUUCUGGAGAGCGCGGCUAUUCUUCACUGAACUGGUCGCGCGAUCUGGAUCGUUUACUUUGAAAAAAUUAGAGUGUUCAAAGCAGGCUUGCGCUGUGAAUACAUUAGCAUGGAAUAAUGAGAUAGGACUUUGGUUCUAUUUUGUUGGUUUCUAGGACCGAACGUAAUGAUUGAUAGGGACAGUUGGGGGUGCUCGUAUUCAACGGCCAGAGGUGAAAUUCUUGGAUUCGUUGAAGACGAACUUAUGCGAAAGCAUUCACCAAGGAUGUCUUCUUUAAUCAAGAACGAAAGUUGGGGGAUCGAAGACGAUCAGAUACCGUCGUAGUCUCAACCAUAAACUAUACCGACUAGGGAUGGGCGAACGUUGCUUUUAUUCGACUUCGUCCGCACCUCAUGAGAAAUCAAAGUCUUUGGGUUCCGGGGGGAGUAUGGUCGCAAGGCUGAAACUUAAAGGAAUUGACGGAAGGGCACCACCAGGAGUGGAGCCUGCGGCUUAAUUUGACCCAACACGGGAAAACUUACCAGGUCCAGACAUAGUGAGGAUUGACAGAUUGAAGAUCUUUCUUGAUUCUAUGGGUGGUGGUGCAUGGCCGUUCUUAGUUGGUGGAGUGAUUUGUCUGGUUAAUUCCGUUAACGAACGAGUCCUCGACCUGCUAACUAGGUCGGCGGACACCUCGGUGUUCGACCGGCACUUCUUAGAGGGACUAUCGGUGUUCUAGCCGAUGGAAGUUCGAGGCAAUAACAGGUCUGUGAUGCCCUUAGGUGUUCCGGGCUGCACGCGCGCUACACUGAUGCAUGCAUCGAGCUCUUCCACCUUGGCCGAGAGGUCUGGGGAAUCUUGCAAUAUGCAUCGUGCUGGGGAUAGAUUAUUGCAAUUAUUAAUCUUCAACGAGGAAUUCCUAGUAAACGCAAGUCAUCAGCUUGCAUUGAUUACGUCCCUGCCCUUUGUACACACCGCCCGUCGCUACUACCGAUUGAAUGGCUUAGUGAGCCUCACGGAUCGCGGCAGUUGGUUUGCUUUCGAGCAUCCGACAGCUGGGAAAAGUGAUGCAAACUUGACCAUUUAGAGGAAGUAAAAGUCGUAACAAGGU
rnacentral:rRNA from 1 species